AGGAAUCACAAUUAGGCAGAUUGUGGUGUUCUGUGCCAACUUGACCCGAGUUACAUAGCCUACAAAUUCUAUCUUCGUAUGGGGUUCCGUCAUAGCGACCUGUUUCGACUGGGGACCAGUGGUUAGCAGUCCUGAAUUGGAAAAGGGAAGGUGCUGGUGGAGGCUUGAUGGAAGACUGAUUGCAGCUUAUCAGUGAUAUGCUCUAUCGUCUGCUGUGAACGGGGAUUGAAGGAUGGUUCUUCGCCCCAACUGGCCUAAUGGGCAUGGUUGCUGUCAGCCGAGGUUCUACCAGGGUUGAGGGGCUGAGGAAUGAAAUCGGUGAAUGGAUUCUUGUUUCAUUAAUGCUUAUUAAGAGGCGUAGC